rnacentral:rRNA from 1 species
AGGUGCAAUCAUACUAGCAUUAAUGCACCAGAUCCCAUUAGAACUCUACAGUUAAGUUUGCUUGGGAUAGAAUAGUACUGGGAUGGGUGACCUCCCGAGAAGUCCUAGUGUUGCACCCU